ACAAUGGAAAUCAACGGCUGCGUGAAACUAAAUGUUGUUAGUGUGGUCCUUUAAAACAUGUGAAUAUUUCCCAUGAUUCCCUCUGAUUGUGCUCAUUUCCAGCAGGAUGUUUUCCAUCUGAUGGGAGCCGCUCUCCGGUCUCAGCUCGAUUAAUCCGGAGCGAUGUGAGGCCGACUCAUCACAAACACCCUGCGCUCCGGGCGGCCCGGGGGUCCGGGCCCUGCUGUCUCCACCAGAGGAGGAGCCGGACCUGGACCGGAGCCAGCAGGAGGAGGUCCACGUCGAUCUGGUUCCUCCUGAUGUCGGUCGCUGCUGUCGGUCUCUGCAGGUGAAGCCUCCCUGACGGCCUGAAGUCUGAACGGGGCGGCAGGUCGUCAGAGAGGCGUACAGGACAUUGUUUGGCCGUCUGUUUGUUGUUGCGCUGACUGAGCGCGCCCCUCCAGCACUAACGCAGCAGAUGUCUGCGUGUACGGCGAGCUGGCAGCCGGCGCAGGUGGCAGAUGCCUGAGUCGGGUGCCAAACGCCGGCAGUUGGGCACAGAUGGAGCGUCACGUUCGGGGAGGGAGCGGCGGGCCCCUGACCUUCUGCUGCUGGAGGUGAGGCUCCGAGGAAUGUGGGACUACAAGUCCACGAGGCAGUCCUCCACCUUCCCAACGCCAACAACAUGAAGA